UGUUCUCAUCACCGCACCUCUACUUCCUGCCUGGCUACUGGCCAAUCAGAAUUUUAAUAAAUGAACACAAGUGAGAAAACUUUACAGAGUACAAGACCAUUGUCCCAUAGCACUUUGCUUUCUACCCUCCAAGCAACAUCCAACUCCUGGCUGCCACUCUGUACCAAGGAUGUUAAACCACUUGAGAAAAAGUCUAACGCUAGUUGGAAUAAUUGGAGUCAUGACCUCAGAGAACACCCCACCCAGAAAAGCUUCAAACUUGUAAAAGGGGAUUAGAAAGAUUGCCAUGAGUCUCAGAAGAGAUUUUGGAUUUUGGACUUUUAAACAGACGUGAGACUGACAGAUUAUGGACUGAAUGACUUUUGCAUUAUUUUAUGGCUACAAGCUUAUGGGGGCAAGUGAGGGAGUGUAAUGUGGUGGUUUGAAUAAAAAUAACACACAUUGGUUCAUAAGGAGUGCACUAUUGGGGCUGCUUCUUUUUAAGUGUUUUACUGGGGUUGUGCAUAGAGGCAUAGUGCCAAGAUCCUUGUGACAAUUUAUCUUCCUACUAUGUGUCAUUUCAGAUGUAGAAUAAAGCUAACGUGCCAACACCA